UAAACGGCCCUUUUCAGGGCCACCAAAUUUGUUCAAAAAGAAUUUG
rnacentral:ncRNA from 1 species